rnacentral:rRNA from 1 species
GAUGAACGCUGGCGGCGUGCCUAAUACAUGCAAGUCGAGCGAACGGACGAGAAGCUUGCUUCUCUGAUGUUAGCGGCGGACGGGUGAGUAACACGUGGAUAACCUACCUAUAAGACUGGGAUAACUUCGGGAAACCGGAGCUAAUACCGGAUAAUAUUUUGAACCGCAUGGUUCAAAAGUGAAAGACGGUCUUGCUGUCACUUCUCGCUGGAUCCGCGCUGCAUUAGCUAGUUGGUAAGGUAACGGCUUACCAAGGCAACGAUGCAUAGCCGACCUGAGAGGGUGAUCGGCCACACUGGAACUGAGACACGGUCCAGACUCCUACGGGAGGCAGCAGUAGGGAAUCUUCCGCAAUGGGCGAAAGCCUGACGGAGCAACGCCGCGUGAGUGAUGAAGGUCUUCGGAUCGUAAAACUCUGUUAUUAGGGAAGAACAUAUGUGUAAGUAACUGUGCACAUCUUGACGGUACCUAAUCAGAAAGCCACGGCUAACUACGUG